ACGUUCUCAACAUUUUCGCCCAAGACGCUCUCCCCCGAUCCCUACUCUCCCGCACUCCUCUCUCUCUCUUUCUCUCUGGACUUUGGAGGAGGCGACAGAGACGAGAGGGAUCCAAGCAGGGCCUUGACCGGAGGUUUCAGGGGAGGCCAAAGGUUUUUCCAUGAUAAUGGAGCCUAUCAGUACUGGAAACCGUGCCGCUACUGCAAGUGCUCUCCAGAAGGCCGAGGCAGUCUCUCAUCUCCGGGAGGGAAUCUCGUUGCUUCUCUCCCAAUGGACAGGCCUUCAAAUGGCCAUCAAGAAUGGGUGGGGCGGCCAUGACUCCCUCCAGAAGUCCAAGCAGCUAGCCACCGAUAUCUUAUCCUGGUUCUUUCAAUCCAAUGCACAUCUGAGUCUGGAGGAUUUAGAGAAUUUUCUCAAUGAAAGCAUGCUGUUCUCUUUCAACACAGAGAUCGAGGAUGGUAGCAUUGAGGAGGUGGCAGAACAGUUGAUGAUUAUGCAUGAAGAAUAUUGGCAUGGAAGCCAUUAUUAGUACUCAAAGAUAUAAUACUAAAGGAAACCGACCCAACUCCGAACCAGAAACUACUCAUCUUCGAAUUAAGCAGCAGGUGCUUGCAGAAGGAUUGGAAAUAAGGGAAGAGGGCCACCUAGCUAGCUGUGGCAUCGAAAGCUAUAAUUUGGUGCAAAAAUUCUUCAAAACUGACCACAAUACAGCAGCUAGCCUAGAUUAUGAUCAGUCCAUGGAGGAGAUGGAAUUUACUUCAAAAUGCUUGAAGACCUGAUGAUCAAGCUGUGUUUUUUCCUCUUCUAUUUUUAACAAUUCUGACGCUGGUUUAUGUGCUCCUGCUAUGAGAAUAUUGCUGCAAUGCUGAGUUGAGGGAAUUGAACCGCCCUAUGUUCUAUGCAUGCAUGCUCUCUCGAUCGGUCCUUCUUUUCCUUUUAUUUAUUCAUCAGCUGGUUUAUUUUAUCCUCUAUAUAUAUACAUUAAUUAAGUGAAAAGGAGAAAAAAAAAUUAAAAAAAAAAA